rfam:Ipomoea nil DNA, scaffold: scaffold2283, cultivar: Tokyo-kokei standard.
GGGGUUGUAGCUCAGAUGGUAAAGCGCUCGCUUAGCAUGUGAGAGGAACGGGGAUCGAUACCCUACAUCUCUA